UCCUUGUCUCUCGCUCACGCCUCCGCUGCUCGCGCCCGAGGGAGGGAGGGGGCAGGGAGCGGCGGCGGCCUGGAUUUGACCGACCUCGCUCCGCGCUCCAAGCAGGUGGUUUCCUAGGGGCGACCCUAAUAUUGCAAAGCGGGUCCUCGCUGUGCCGACUUUUGGUCUUUUCAACGGGGUUUUCAUUUUGGCACCUGCCUGCAGCAGACACCAUUUUGAUGCGCUCUAAGGUUUUCUUUUCCCCCGAUCCAAAAGCAGAUAGACUGUUGUGGGCCCGGGAGCUCAGUCUAAGGGUUGCGUUUUUCUGCUGUGGUCAGAAAUCUCCGAUUUGCCCCUUCCCCACCCAGCCCUUUCACAUCCUGCUUCAUCCAAUGAGUGGGCAUCGCCGAAUACAAAGGAAUGUGGGAUUGUUAAGAAACGACUCACGCUGCUGGGGAAAUGCCUAGCUGCUGGUUCAUACUACUCUGAUGAAAGAGUGAGAAAAGAGCAGGCUGUGGAGUAGGAAAAGCAGCUGAUUUCCCAAUAACUUGAGGGGGAUUUGGCUGACAAGUGCAGGGCACACAGUCUGCAAGUCCCUUUAUAAGCGAUUUCUUUUAUAUCCCAGAAUUCCCUCCUAUCUGUGAGGAGGAGGUGGUAGCAACCUUGACCAGGUAGUUUGAGACUUAGCCUACCUACCUUUCAAUGCAGUUGUGGAAGCAAUGACAUAAUCAGGCUCCCAUAGCCUUCCUCUUCUGUGUCAAGACUUCCAUCCAAGAAACUAUCAUUAGGAUUGUAUCCCCCUUUUUAUGUUUACUAAUGUGGGGUAAUUGGUCUUUUCACCUUUGGUUGUGACUGAGUGGGACUCUCAGUGGGGAGUUUUGUGCCCAGAGAGUAACAUGUCAGGGGACUAGUAGAGAUUUUGGAACACACCUGUUGUAUCACUGCCUUUCUUUUUUGUUGUGUAGCGUGCUGUCUCCCCAUUGCCAAUGUUUCUUCCUUCCCUCUCUCAUACUCUUAGUUCCAUGUGGGUGUGAGCAGAGUGCUCCCCACCUCUGCUGAGGUUCAUGUGCAUUUAUGAUUGUGGACAUCUCUAGCACUGUGUGGAGAUGCAGCAUAUUCCUGGGGCCUCUGGACAGAACAUAGUGUUAUGGGUUUGUGGGGACCAGACUCUCCUAAAUUCCUGGGUCCAGGAAAUGUUAAAAAAUAAGCCAGGCCUGUUUCCUGAUGAGCCAUUUAGAGAACAAAGGGAAGGUAAUGAGCCAUUAGAGAAACAAAGAGAGGGAGCUCUGUGUCAGAGGGCAAAUAGAAAGGGCCCCUCCUUCAACUCAGAGUGAAUUUGAAGACAAGGCAGAGUUUGAGAGCUCGCUGUGAUGUGAGUGAGAAACUGGAGAAAAAGCAGCAGGCAGAGAAUGAGGAGCCAUGGCUGAUUUCUGCUUGAAUCCGAGGCUGCAACUAUGGGAGAAACAAUACCCUUUUGUGUGUUAAUCAUAUGCUCAGGUUGUUUAUAUGUGUAAAUAAAGGUGUGGGAAUGUUGAGGAAAGUAGGAGAGGAUAUAUUGAUUAAGUAUUAUCCCUCCUCACUCACGCUAGUGAGCAAACAGCAGAGCACAUUCCCUUGCUGGAAGCAAGUUGAUGAUUUGUUAGAAUCAUUUAAGUUAAGCAAUCUAGUCUGGCUGCUCCAGUCUGGAUUGUUCCUGGCAAAUUGUCCCCUUUAUUUCCCUCCUAAAAUAAUAAUAACAUGACAGUCUUGUUUAGACGAGUAAGGUUUACUUACAUUCAGUUCACAGUAGUAUUCUGAAGGCAGGUUUUAUCCUGUGGUCACAGUUACAUUUGUAGAGAAGUCUGAGCUAGGCCUCAGACUUUCUACCUUGUGGCUUCCAUCCUCCGUAAGGAUGAGCCAUGUGCCAGCUAAGAGCCAGAAGAGGAGUCCGAAAGGAGAAAAUGGGGAAAAAUGGAAGAUGACUGCAUGACUAGCCCUUUUGUAGGGUCUGCUAGGGUCAUGCCAAUCUAACUGGUCAAACACAGGGGGAGGUAGCUCCAGAGCAGGUAUGACAGGAAGUCCUCCCUGUCUGGGGCAACAUUCUCCUGUGUGUCCACUCUAGGCAACAGGAAAUGUAGUUGACGGCUUCAGUGAUGAUACAUUCCACAAAAGACACCACAGUCUCUGCUGUGCCUCAUUUCCAGUAAGAAACCUGGACCCCUGGAGAUGAAAGGUUCCUUUGAGGGAUCACCCAGAAGUCCCUUCUGCCCCAGAGACCGUACCUUGGAAGCCAGCUUAUAUUUUUGCAGCUCUCCUUGGUGUUGUGUUGCAACUUUAUUCCCUGUGUGUACCAAGGGACAAGCACCUCAUUGCCUCUACCAAGGAAAGGCUACACACACCAUCUUUCUUUGAAGACACCUGUACUUAAUGUCUGAACAUCAGGGACGCACACAGAGAUGUGGCUCCUCAGCACCAUUCCACAUUUGGUGCCUCAUUGCGCAAUGCAUGCAAGAUUAAUGUUCCUGAGAUCCCUGAGCAUCCAUGUGGCAGCAAGGGCAUCUUCCUCCACAAAAAUCAUUACCCCCUUCGUUAAGAAAAAGAGCAGGUUUUUAGCAUGCGUUGUGAGAAACUAACCUGCUCCCACCUUCUGGGUUUUCAGCGUUCUAUUUCCAAGUUGUUCAUAAACUAAGCUGUUCUAAAACCAAA